rnacentral:rRNA from 1 species
GCCAGACUCCUACGGGAGGCAGCAGUGAGGAAUAUUGGUCAAUGGGCUUACGCCUGAACCAGCCAAGUCGCGUGAGGGAAGACUGCCCUAUGGGUUGUAAACCUCUUUUGUCAGGGAGCAAUUGGCGCUACGUGUAGCGUUAUCGAGAGUACCUGGAGAAAAAGCAUCGGCUAACUCCGUGCCAGCAGCCGCGGUAAUACGGAGGAUCCGAGCGUUAUCCGGAUUCAUUGGGUUUAAAGGGUGCGUAGGUUGUUUUAUAAGUUAGCGGUGAAAUACCGAUGCUCAACAUCGGGGCUGCCGCUAAUACUGUAGGACUAGAGAUCGGAUGCAGCAGGCGGAAUGUGUAGUGUAGCGGUGAAAUGCAUAGAUAUUACACAGAACACCGAUUGCGAAGGCAGCUUGCUAGGCCGGAUCUGGCACUGAUGCACGAAAGCGUGGGGAUCGAACAGGAUUAGAUACCCCGGUAUUA